AUUGAACGCUGGCGGCAGGCCUAACACAUGCAAGUCGAGCGGAUGAAGGGAGCUUGCUCCUGGAUUCAGCGGCGGACGGGUGAGUAAUGCCUAGGAAUCUGCCUGGUAGUGGGGGAUAACGUCCGGAAACGGGCGCUAAUACCGCAUACGUCCUGAGGGAGAAAGUGGGGGAUCUUCGGACCUCACGCUAUCAGAUGAGCCUAGGUCGGAUUAGCUAGUUGGUGGGGUAAAGGCCUACCAAGGCGACGAUCCGUAACUGGUCUGAGAGGAUGAUCAGUCACACUGGAACUGAGACACGGUCCAGACUCCUACGGGAGGCAGCAGUGGGGAAUAUUGGACAAUGGGCGAAAGCCUGAUCCAGCCAUGCCGCGUGUGUGAAGAAGGUCUUCGGAUUGUAAAGCACUUUAAGUUGGGAGGAAGGGCAGUAAGUUAAUACCUUGCAGUUUUGACGUUACCAACAGAAUAAGCACCGGCUAACUUCGU
rnacentral:rRNA from 1 species